UNGUUAGCUCACCCACAGCCUCCAGAUGCC
rnacentral:piRNA from 1 species